UGCAAUUAAUGAAUAGUUAAUGAUUUCUUAACCCCUAACAAGUUUCCUAACUCCCAACAAUCCUGUAUGAGGGUAUAAACCCUAUCAUGCACCCCCUUUCCUGGUUACCAUCACUCACAGUAGCGUUUUCUUCUUCACUUCACUAUUUUAUUGUUUUGAGUUGAGAGGGUAUCCAUUAGUGAUUUUGAUCAGUGGUGGUGAUCGGUGGUGGUGAUCUGUAGUGGUGAUACUUGCUAGUGGGAGGAGGAAGAAGAGAAAGCUCCGUCCAGGUUAGUUCAACAUUGGAAAUAAACACAGUUAACCAUCGUUCGUCGUGCAGUUAAGCUUGCCACCGUUCGAACGACGUUUUUUCUUUGUCGCCCAUCGAGUUGCGGUUUCUCACAACCGCAUUUGGUGUUGCGUUUCUC
rnacentral:lncRNA from 1 species